rnacentral:rRNA from 1 species
UACGUAGGGUCCGAGCGUUGUCCGGAAUUACUGGGCGUAAAGAGCUCGUAGGUGGUUUGUCGCGUUGUUCGUGAAAACUCACAACUCAAUUGUGGGCGUGCGGGCGAUACGGGCAGACUUGAGUACUGCAGGGGAGACUGGAAUUCCUGGUGUAGCGGUGGAAUGCGCAGAUAUCAGGAGGAACACCGAUGGCGAAGGCGGCCUGCUGGGCUAUGGCUGACACUGAGGCGCGACAGCGUGGGGAGCAAACAGG